UACGUAGGUGGCGAGCGUUAUCCGGAAUGAUUGGGCGUAAAGGGUGCGUAGGCGGCCUGCUAAGUCUGGAGUGAAAGGUACCGGCUCAACCGGUACAGGCUCUGGAAACUGGCGGGCUAGAGAGCAGGAGAGGGCGGUGGAACUCCAUGUGUAGCGGUAAAAUGCGUAGAUAUAUGGAGGAACACCGGUGGCGAAAGCGGCUCUCUGGCCCGUAACUGACACUGAGGCUCGAAAGCGUGGGGAGCAAACAGG
rnacentral:rRNA from 1 species